UGCUCCAAGUAAAACAACCUGAGAUCAGAGC
rnacentral:piRNA from 1 species